rnacentral:rRNA from 1 species
GAUGAACGCUGGCGGCGUGCCUAAUACAUGCAAGUCGAGCGAACAGAUAAGGAGCUUGCUCCUUUGACGUUAGCGGCGGACGGGUGAGUAACACGUGGGUAACCUACCUAUAAGACUGGAAUAACUCCGGGAAACCGGGGCUAAUGCCGGAUAACAUUUAGAACCGCAUGGUUCUAAAGUGAAAGAUGGUUUUGCUAUCACUUAUAGAUGGACCCGCGCCGUAUUAGCUAGUUGGUAAGGUAACGGCUUACCAAGGCAACGAUACGUUGCCGACCUGAGAGGGUGAUCGGCCACACUGGAACUGAGACACGGUCCAGACUCCUACGGGAGGCAGCAGUAGGGAAUCUUCCGCAAUGGGCGAAAGCCUGACGGAGCAACGCCGCGUGAGUGAUGAAGGUCUUCGGAUCGUAAAACUCUGUUAUUAGGGAAGAACAAAUGUGUAAGUAACUGUGCACGUCUUGACGGUACCUAAUCAGAAAGCCACGGCUAACUACGUG